UACGGAGGGUGCAAGCGUUAUCCGGAUUCACUGGGUUUAAAGGGUGCGUAGGUGGGUCUGUAAGUCCGUGGUGAAAUCUCCGAGCUUAACUCGGAAACUGCCAUGGAUACUAUAGAUCUUGAAUACCGUGGAGGAUAGCGGAAUAUGUCAUGUAGCGGUGAAAUGCUUAGAUAUGACAUAGAACACCAAUUGCGAAGGCAGCUGUCUACCCGAAUAUUGACACUGAGGCACGAAAGCGUGGGGAUCAAACAGG
rnacentral:rRNA from 1 species